GCUACCUCUCCACCUGCAAGUCUUUGCUCCACUAUUUCCCCCUUGGCGCCGGGCAUCGCAGCCUCAGGUCAGCCCUCAAACUCUACUGGGAGGCAGUUCCAACCCGUCCUACAGUCCUUCCAGCCAGCCUGCACUCCGCAGGUGUUAGUGACCCAUGGUCUUUUAUGUCCUGCAGGGCCCAGCAAAGGACUAAGCAUGCACAGCAGGGGACAUGGGACCUGCCGAGACCUGUUCCUAGCCCGGGGUCAGGCCCCGAAACACCAGCCAAAGGUGAACAGUACAGGAGAGUCAUCACCUUGUGCAGACAGGCCAACAAGGCAAGGAAGUGCUGGUCACCCCAGCGUUGCCUCUGGCCCAGCACGACACCCCGCCACACCCAGGCCUCCUCCUGUGCCUUCAAGGGCCACGCAGCCAUAACCCUGGGGCUGCAACAGGAAGGACUGGGCGCCGGUCAGUGAGCCACAAUGAGAUGGGGUGAGCGCCCAACCAGGACAGACACACGAGGCAGAGGCGGAGCGAGGGGAGCUGGUGGGGAUGGCCAGUAAGGAAAGCCUAACACAUUUAGAAGGCGGCUUCUAAAGUCAAACCCUGCAUGGGACUGAACUGGUUUCUGGGAUUUUCUUCUUCAGAGCUAACAUCUGCAGGCAGGCCUCGUCUGCCCCAUCCCCGUCCCGGGGGACCACCUCCCGGAAGGUCAGCCGCUCGCCCGGGGGCUUCACUAUCCAUGAGCUUACUCCUCCCUCCCACAGGGGGCAGGGACAGAAUCCGGGGCGCCCGGCAGAGGUCCGCGCGCCCUGGCCCUGCGCCUCCUUUCUGACGUCCGGGCCCCAUAUUCCCGGGCGCAGGCGGACCGUGACCCCGUCCGACCGGGACAGUCAUGGAGGAAACGCGCGGGAGAGGGCGCAGAACUUGGAGACUGCGGAGGCGCAGCGCGGGGAAAUGACCGGGACCGCCUCCCCACCGGCCGCGGCGCCCGCAGUGCCAGGUCUCCCCUCCAGGGGCGUCAGGGCCGCCGAACGCCCUACAGGGCCCGGAUCCUGCAUCCGAUCCAAACUCACCCCUCCGGCCACUGCGCGGACAGGCGCAGGGACGCGGGAGCCCCGGGCCCGCCCCGCAGGACCAAGGACCCAGGCUCGCCCUGCCCGCCCUGGCGCGCCCACCGAGGGGACGCGGAGCUGACGAUCGCGGGGCCACGAGGGGACUUGCCCUACCCCGCAGAUGUCUGGGGGGCGGACAUCUCCCCGGCACCAUGAAACCUUUGGAGACCCCAGCCUCCCAACCCCAGCCACGUGGCCAGCCCUCCCUUCUCAGGUGCCCCGGGCUGGGCCACGUGGCCCGUGACCACCCCACCACCUCGCCGGGGGCCUGUGAGGAGGAACCCAAUGCCCCGAAGUCACAACCCCCAGCCCCUCACCCCGCCUUUCCCUCCCACCCCACACCCCCAACCUCUGAGGCGCCCCCUGCGGCUUCCCCUUGCUACCCCCCGGGUCUCAGACCUCCAGACAUGGUGAUUUGGGUCUCUUCUGGUGACCCAAGGCAGCGUGUUUAACCUCCUCUAAGCCUGGUGAGAAGGUCGAGGCAGUGACCCAGCAGGUGACAGGAUAAGGAGGAGGGAAGGCAUGUCCUCAGCCAUCCAGAUUUUAAAGAGGAGGAAUGUCCUAAUGAAUAAUAAUUAGUUGUUAGGUAAUCACACCUAACAUUUAUUGAGUGCUUACUAUGUGCUGAGCUCCUUUCCCGCAUUAACACACUUAAUCUUCACCAGUAUUCUAUACGGCCCGGUUUCAUCCCAUUUUUACAGAUGAGGAAACUGAGCAAGAGAAACCAGAAGUUGCAGGCUGAGUGGCACACGCUGCUGGGUGAGAGGCGGGAAUCCGCAGGGCCGGCAGCUCUGGCCACUGCACUCACUGCCCUUUUCUCCUUCCUGCUCUGUGAGGUCACCCGCCCGUGGCUCUAGGAUGGCCUGCUGAAUCCUUCCCUGUCAGCAGCUGACCUCACCCCUCCCCACCUGAUCUGUCACCUCCUGUCCCUCCCUCUCCCUGGGCAAACCUCCCCCAUUCUCCAUCCCACCCCUCACAGCUUCAGCCAGGGGAUUCCCAGGCACCAAGAGGGAAAGGGGCUCGGGGACCCUGCUCCUCGACAGAGGGCCCGGGGAAUGAUGUUUUGGUGAAUUCACUUUUCCUUCGGCUUUUGAAAGGUCUAGGUUCCUCAUUCCCAGAGCCCAUGGUUCCCGAACUGGUCACCUGAGAGUCACCUGGGUCUCUAGUCACCCUGGUCAGCUAGCCAAGGCCCAGCCCUGUCCGCCUGCUGGAGGCUGGCCCCCAGGGCGCUCUGUCAGCUCUCCAGGGGCUUCUGGGACCACUCAAGCUUGAGAGGCACUGUUUAGGCAGCUGAGUUAAUUUGGUGUUUUUGUGAACACUGUCAGUUGCCACUAGUUACCAGUCCACGGACAAACCUCUUUCCUUAAUGACUCAGGCAGUGAAGACCUUCCAGAAACUGCUAGUCUAUGGAAAAGACACUCCCAGGUCUGGCCAGCCGGGUCAUGGGUGGGCUGCUUCACCUCUGUGUCCAGGUGGGGGGCAGAGCCCCUCAGGAACCCUCCCACCCACUCGCAUGUCCCCGCAGGCCUGUGGACAGCCUUUCCUGGGAGAGGGCACUGUCCCUAAUGUGCGGCACAUGCCCUGAGGGGGCGCCCUCAGCUGGUUAGGACGAGGUGGCCAACUGACGGAUCCCUGGGGGAGAUUAUGGCUGCACAGGCAAGUGGGUGGGGUCUGGUGGGGGGGGGACCGUUCGAGAAAGUCAUUCACCAAGAAAGAAGAGAGGUAACUGAGAGAAUUCUCUGUGCUCUGAGCUCAUCUUCCAUGACAGCACGUGAGUGACCGCUCUCUGAGUUGCUGGAGGUGGUGUGGUGUGUCCACGAGGACUCUGGGCCUUGGAAAAUGACCAUGAUUUUGGUGACCUUGUGUCAGCGCUCAGUAAUUUUUUUGAAAAAGCUUUCCAUUUGGACAUAGUGA